rnacentral:rRNA from 1 species
UACGUAAGGUCCAAGCGUUAUCCGGAAUCACUGGGCGUAAAGCGUGCGUAGGUGGCGUGUUAAGUGUGAUGUUAAAUCGUGGGGCUCAACCCUGUCGGUGCAUCACAUACUGGCAUGCUAGAGGACAGCAGAGGCAAGUGGAAUUUGUAGUGUAGCAGUGAAAUGCGUAGAUAUUACAAGGAACACCAAUGGCGAAGGCAGCUUGCUGGGCUACUCCUGACACUGAGGUACGAAAGCGUGGGGAGCGAACAGG